CAGAAUGAUGGAAACCUGGAAUUGAUCCAGAUUGACCCGAAAAGGAUGCUGUAAAUGGCCUUCCAGCUGAGUCUGGAA
rfam:Sorghum bicolor cultivar BTx623 chromosome 4, whole genome shotgun sequence.